GGCCUAUUGGCCAAGUCGCACGGCGUCGCUCUCCUAAAGCGAAGAUCGUGGGUUCAAUCCCCACAUAGGUCU